GUUAUUCAAACAAAAAUGGAAAACAAGUGGGUUUUUGGUUCAGAGUCGAUGUUACAUACUGUGUUUGUUUCUCUUAUUUUCUCGGUUUUCUUUUCUUCACCGAAUGCCCUUUUUCGUGCUUCUUUCUGAAUCUUCGAGUUAUAAAUUUUUCUCUUCUCUUUUUUUUCUUCUUUCUUUCUCUUGAUUCGUCAAUUUUUUCUUUUUUUUUUCUCGCACUUUUUUGGGCUUUUGGUAGCUUUUGGGGUUUUUACCCCAAAC
rnacentral:lncRNA from 1 species